rnacentral:rRNA from 1 species
UACGUAGGUGGCAAGCGUUGUCCGGAUUUACUGGGCGUAAAGGGCGUGCAGGCGGUUUGUUAAGUGCAGGGUGAAAGCUCCCGGCUCAACUGGGAGAGGUCCUUGCAUACUGGCGAACUCGAGGGAGGCAGAGGAAAGUGGAAUUCCCGGUGUAGUGGUGAUAUGCGUAGAUAUCGAGAGGAACACCUGCGGCGAAGGCGGGUUGCUGGGCUGACACUGACGCUGAUGCGCGAAAGCCAGGGGAGCGAACGGG